rnacentral:rRNA from 1 species
AUGCACCACAUCCUCGCCGAAUGCGUCUUCGCCCGCAUCAUCUGGCACGGCAUCCUCUCCUGGUGUUGUCCCACGAUAUCCACACCGGACGGAUCACUUGGGUUCUUUGAUUGGCUUAGUGUGGCCAUACUACAGCUACCCCAGGAUCGGCGACGAGAGCUCUCCACCAUCGCCCUUCUGACGAUCUAGUCAAUCUGGCGUCAUCGCAACACUAUCAUCUUCGACAAGGCCACGCCCUCUUCUACCUCCCUCUUGUUCGCGAUCCAAGACGAAGCCAGCUCCUGGGCCUACGCCGGAGCGAAAGGACUUAGUGUCAUCAUCCCUAUAGGCUAG